rnacentral:rRNA from 1 species
UACGUAGGCAGCGAGCGUUGUUCGGAGUUACUGGGCGUAAAGGGUGCGUAGGCGGUUGUUUAAGUUUGGUGUGAAAUCUCCCGGCUCAACUGGGAGGGUGCGCCGAAUACUGAAUGACUAGAGUGCGGGAGAGGAGAGUGGAAUUCCUGGUGUAGCGGUGAAAUGCGUAGAUAUCAGGAGGAACACCGGUGGUGUAGACGGCUCUCUGGACCGUAACUGACGCUGAGGCAUGAAAGCGUGGGUAGCAAACAGG